rnacentral:rRNA from 1 species
CCUACGGGUGGCAGCAGUGGGGAAUAGUGCACAAUGGGGGAAACCCUGAUGCAGCGACGCCGCGUGAGUGAAGAAGGAAUUCGUGAUGUAAAGCUCUAACAGCAGGGAAGAAAAGGACGGUACCUGAGGAAGAAGCCCCGGCGAACGACGUGCCAGCAGCCGCGGUAAGACGUAGGGGGCAAGCGUUAUCCGGAUUUACUGGGUGUAAAGGGAGCGGAGACGGCAGUGCCAGGCGGGAGGGAAAGGCGGGGGCUCACCCCCCGGACGGCUCUGGAAACUGUCCGGCUGGAGUGCCGGAGAGGUAAGUGGCAUUCCUCGUGUAGCGGUGCCAUGCGUCGAUAUUAGGCGGAACCCCAGUGGCGAUGGCGUCUUACUGGACUGUACCUGCCUUUGAGGCUC